AGCUGCACCUCUGUACUCUGUGUGAUUUGGUUACACAGCCCACAGAUUCCCUUUUUUGCUAAAGCUGGUUUGAGUUGAGUUUCUUUCUUUCUUUCUUUUUUUUUUUCUGAGACGGAGUCUCGCUCUGAUGCCCAGGCUGGAGUGCAGUGGGGCUCACUGCAAGCCCUGCCUCCCUGGUUCACACUAUUCUCCUGCCUCAGCCUCUGGAGUAGCUGGGACUACAGGCUCCUGCCACCACGCCUGGCUAAUUUUUUGUAUUUUUAGUAGAGACAGGGUUUCACCGUGUUAGCCGGGAUGGUCUCCAUCUCCUGACCUCGUGAUCCAACCACCUCAGCCUCCCGAAGUGCUGGGAUUACAGGCUUGAGCCACCGCGCCCAGCCUGAGUUGAGUUUCUGAUGAAUCCGUUCACUGUCAACAGUCAGUAGUUGCUUUACAGGAGCUUUCACUCCUUAUUGAAGCCCUAUGCCUGCUAUCAAGGACCACAAUCACCCACCCUGUCCUUCUGAUGCUGCCCAACAUGUCUGAAUCCUGACCUGAGGAUCAUCUAGGCCAAAAUGGAGACCCUAAGUGUUCCAGUGCAGUCUGCUUGUGGCCAGCUUACCUGGCAGAUGUCCACUCACAGGGUUAGGAGAAGGUCCACAGUUCUGGACUUGCCGACAACUGGUUAAUGCAUACCACAGAUCAGUUAAGGCCUAUUAAGUGAUUUUGGCUUUCUAUUCUCAACACUGUCCCUGGUUUGGACUACAGAUUAUAUUGCCAGCCAAGGUAUCACAAUGACCAUAUGCUUCAGGAAUCAUUUUUGCCUUCUGGGAAGAACUUUCCCGGGACCUGAAGCUGAUCUCGUCCACUCAGUGUGGCCAGGUCCUGGGUCCUAGGUCCCCAGUUUCUCCCCAUUCUUAGGCCGCCCACCAUGUACCCUGUAACUGAACUGUGAUCUCUGAGUGGCUUCAGGGCAGGUUGUGGGUCUGGCUGCUCUGUGCCCAUUGGAGCAUCCCUGCCUCACAGCUCAUCUGCUGAUGUAUGAUGCAGCUGACUCAUCCCAAACUUGUGGCCUUGGCAAGUAGGACCCUCUCAAUCCCUAUCCGCACUUUCCACACAGAGGAAGCCAGACAGCAU
rnacentral:lncRNA from 10 species